UGCUGUCUGAAGGUCAGCCCUUGCGGCGAU
rnacentral:sRNA from 1 species